GACGAACGCUGGCGGCGUGCCUAAUACAUGCAAGUCGAACGCACAGUUUAUACCGUAGCUUGCUACACCAUAGACUGUGAGUUGCGAACGGGUGAGUAACGCGUAGGCAACCUGCCUGGUAGCGGGGGAUAACUAUUGGAAACGAUAGCUAAUACCGCAUAAUAUUAAUUAUUGCAUGAUAAUUAAUUGAAAGGUGCAAUUGCACCACUACCAGAUGGACCUGCGUUGUAUUAGCUAGUAGGUGAGGUAACGGCUCACCUAGGCGACGAUACAUAGCCGACCUGAGAGGGUGAUCGGCCACACUGGGACUGAGACACGGCCCAGACUCCUACGGGAGGCAGCAGUAGGGAAUCUUCGGCAAUGGACGAAAGUCUGACCGAGCAACGCCGCGUGAGUGAAGAAGGUUUUCGGAUCGUAAAGCUCUGUUGUAAGAGAAGAACGGGUGUGAGAGUGGAAAGUUCACACUGUGACGGUAUCUUACCAGAAAGGGACGGCUAACUACGUG
rnacentral:rRNA from 1 species